rnacentral:rRNA from 1 species
GAUGAACGCUGGCGGCGUGCCUAAUACAUGCAAGUCGAGCGAACAGAUAAGGAGCUUGCUCCUUUAACGUUAGCGGCGGACGGGUGAGUAACACGUGGGUAACCUACCUAUAAGACUGGAAUAACUCCGGGAAACCGGGGCUAAUGCCGGAUAACAUUUAGAACCGCAUGGUUCUAAAGUGAAAGAUGGUUUUGCUAUCACUUAUAGAUGGACCCGCGCCGUAUUAGCUAGUUGGUAAGGUAACGGCUUACCAAGGCAACGAUACGUAGCCGACCUGAGAGGGUGAUCGGUCACACUGGAACUGAGACACGGUCCAGACUCCUACGGGAGGCAGCAGUAGGGAAUCUUCCGCAAUGGGCGAAAGCCUGACGGAGCAACGCCGCGUGAGUGAUGAAGGUCUUCGGAUCGUAAAACUCUGUUAUUAGGGAAGAACAAAUGUGUAAGUAACUGUGCACGUCUUGACGGUACCUAAUCAGAAAGCCACGGCUAACUACGUG